rnacentral:rRNA from 1 species
UCUCUAAGCAAUGGAUGUCUUGGCUCCUCACACGAUGAAGAACGUGGCAUAAUGUGUUAAGUAACCGGAGUUGCAAACAUCAUGACAGGUUAAUCUUUGAAUGCAAAUUGCGCUCACCUCGGUCUCGGCCGAGAAGCAUGGGUGUGACAGUACUACA